GACGUAGGGCGCGAGCGUUGUCCGGAUUUAUUGGGCGUAAAGAGCUCGUAGGCGGCUUGUUGCGUCGACCGUGAAAACCCGUGGCUCAACUUCGGGCGUGCGGGCGAUACGGGCGGGCUGGAGUUCGGUAGGGGAGACUGGAAUUCCUGGUGUAGCGGUGAAAUGCGCAGAUAUCAGGAGGAACACCGGUGGCGAAGGCGGGUCUCUGGGCCGAUACUGACGCUGAGGAGCGAAAGCGUGGGGAGCGAACAGG
rnacentral:rRNA from 1 species